rnacentral:misc_RNA from 1 species
GUUGCUAAGAAUCAAGAGAAAGUUACUGAUAGUCAAAUUUAAUUACGUCUUCUUCCCGCGGCUAUAACUAGAGUAGAGCUGGAUACUGCUUAGCCUGCUGCUUCACUCGCUUCUUGUACUCAAAUUCAUCCUGCAUAUAAAGCUGAUAGCCAUCGGUUUGUGCUGGAUCAUCGGGAUUUGGCUGGUCAAGCAAAUCUUGUAUACCCACCAGAAUUUGCUUCACUGUAAUGGCUGGCCUCCAUCCACUGUCCUCAUUCAGGAUAGACAAACAUACAGUUCCUGAAGGAUAGACAUUUGGAUGAAAGAAACCUGCUGGAAACUUGCACUUUGGGGGUUUGCUUGGAUAGUCUUCACUGAAAUGCAUCGUUACUGGAUAGUGACCGCCCUCCCAGUCAGUCGAAGGUUUACCCGGGAUAGAACAUUGCCAGACCAUCAAAUUAACACUACCAUCAGGACCAGUCUCCGGCUUUGCCACAAAACCAUGAGGAUGAUUCUUACGCCAUGCUUUCCUCUCCUCCGUCAGACGACCACGCGCAAUUCCGCCAGACAUUUUUCCCUAAACUUGCAAAGAGAAAUUGGGAAUCA